GAGUUUGAUCCUGGCUCAGAUUGAACGCUGGCGGCAGGCCUAACACAUGCAAGUCGAGCGGAAACGAGUUAACUGAACCUUCGGGGAACGUUAACGGCGUCGAGCGGCGGACGGGUGAGUAAUGCCUGGGAAAUUGCCCUGAUGUGGGGGAUAACCAUUGGAAACGAUGGCUAAUACCGCAUAAUAGCUUCGGCUCAAAGAGGGGGACCUUCGGGCCUCUCGCGUCAGGAUAUGCCCAGGUGGGAUUAGCUAGUUGGUGAGGUAAUGGCUCACCAAGGCGACGAUCCCUAGCUGGUCUGAGAGGAUGAUCAGCCACACUGGAACUGAGACACGGUCCAGACUCCUACGGGAGGCAGCAGUGGGGAAUAUUGCACAAUGGGCGCAAGCCUGAUGCAGCCAUGCCGCGUGUAUGAAGAAGGCCUUCGGGUUGUAAAGUACUUUCAGCAGUGAGGAAGGUGGGUAUGUUAAUAGCAUACUCAUUUGACGUUAGCUGCAGAAGAAGCACCGGCUAACUCCGUGCCAGCAGCCGCGGUAAUACGGAGGGUGCGAGCGUUAAUCGGAAUUACUGGGCGUAAAGCGCAUGCAGGUGGUUUGUUAAGUCAGAUGUGAAAGCCCGGGGCUCAACCUCGGAAUUGCAUUUGAAACUGGCAAACUAGAGUACUGUAGAGGGGGGGUAGAAUUUUCAGGUGUAGCGGUGAAAUGCGUANAGAUCUGAAAGGAAUACCGGNGGCGAAGGCGGCCCCCUGNNACAGAUACUGACACUCAGAUGCGAAAGCGUGGGGNAGCAAACAGGNNNANANNCNNUGNUANNNCCACGUCCNNAAACGAUGUCUANNUUGGGAGGUNGUGGNCC
rnacentral:rRNA from 1 species